rnacentral:rRNA from 1 species
CGGAGGGUGCAAGCGUUAUCCGGAUUCACUGGGUUUAAAGGGUGUGUAGGCGGGCAGUUAAGUCAGUGGUGAAAUCUCCGGGCUCAACCCGGAAACUGCCAUUGAUACUAAUUGUCUUGAAUAUCGUUGAGGCAGGCGGAAUAUGUCAUGUAGCGGUGAAAUGCAUAGAUAUGACAUAGAACACCAAUUGCGAAGGCAGCUUGCUAAACGAUCAUUGACGCUAAGGCACGAAAGCGUGGGGAUCAAACAGGAUUAGAUACCCUGGUAGUCCACGCCCUAAACGAUGAUUACUCGACAUACGCGAUACACAGUGUGUGUCUGAGCGAAAGCAUUAAGUAAUCCACCUGGGAAGUACGUCCGCAAGGAUG